UAUAAUACCUCACGAGAGAUGCCUGCAGCU
rnacentral:piRNA from 1 species